rnacentral:rRNA from 1 species
GGGCAGCAUGAUUUGUAGCAAUACAGAUUGAUGGCGACCGGCGCACGGGUGAGUAACGCGUAUGCAACUUACCUAUCAGAGGGGGAUAGCCCGGCGAAAGUCGGAUUAAUACCUCAUAAAACAGGGGUCCCGCAUGGGAAUAUUUGUUAAAGGUUCAUCGCUGAUAGAUAGGCAUGCGUUCCAUUAGGCAGUUGGCGGGGUAACGGCCCACCAAACCGACGAUGGAUAGGGGUUCUGAGAGGAAGGUCCCCCACAUUGGUACUGAGACACGGACCAAACUCCUACGGGAGGCAGCAGUGAGGAAUAUUGGUCAAUGGCCGAGAGGCUGAACCAGCCAAGUCGCGUGAAGGAAGAAGGAUCUAUGGUUUGUAAACUUCUUUUAUAGGGGAAUAAAGUGGAGGACGUGUCCUUUUUUGUAUGUACCCUAUGAAUAAGCAUCGGCUAACUCCGUGCCAGCAGCCGCGGUAAUACGGAGGAUGCGAGCGUUAUCCGGAUUUAUUGGGUUUAAAGGGUGCGUAGGUGGUGAUUUAAGUCAGCGGUGAAAGUUUGUGGCUCAACCAUAAAAUUGCCGUUGAAACUGGGUUACUUGAGUGUGUUUGAGGUAGGCGGAAUGCGUGGUGUAGCGGUGAAAUGCAUAGAUAUCACGCAGAACUCCGAUUGCGAAGGCAGCUUACUAAACCAUAACUGACACUG